rnacentral:rRNA from 1 species
UACGUAGGCAGCAAGCGUUGUCCGGAAUUAUUGGGCGUAAAGAGCUCGUAGGCGGCCUGUUGCGUCCGCUGUGAAAGCCCGGGGCUUAACCCCGGGUCUGCAGUGGAUACGGGCAGGCUAGAGGUAGGUAGGGGAGAAUGGAAUUCCCGGUGUAGCGGUGAAAUGCGCAGAUAUCGGGAGGAACACCAAUAGCGGAGGCAGCUCGCUGGGACGUUACUGACACUGAGGCGCGAAAGCGUGGGGAGCGAACAGG